UACCUGACUAAGUAGCCCCGGCUAACUACGUGCCAGCAGCCGCGGUAAUACGUAGGGGGCAAGCGUUAUCUGGAUUCACUGGGUGUAAAGGGAGCGUAGACGGCGACGCAAGUCUGGAGUGAAAGCCCGGGGCCCAACCCCGGGACUGCUCUGGAAACUGCGUCGCUGGAGUACGGGAGGGGCAGGCGGAAUUCCUGGUGUAGCGGUGAAAUGCGUAGAUAUCAGGAGGAACACCGGCGGCGAAGGCGGCCUGCUGGACCGUGACUGACGUUGAGGCUCGAGAGCGUGGGGAGGCAAACAGGAUUAGAUACCCUGGUAGUCCACGCCGUAAACGAUGACUGCUAGGUGUCGGGGGACGACAGUGCCCCGGUGCCGCCGCAAACGCAGUAAGCAGUCCACCUGGGGAGUACGUUCGCAAGAAUGAAACUCAAAGGAAUUGACGGGGACCCACACAAGCGGUGGAGCAUGUGGUUUAAUUCGAGGCAACGCGAAGAACCUUACCCAGCCUUGACAUCCCGGCGGAGACGGGGCAAUGCCCGUCGCCCUUCGGGGCGCCGGAGACAGGUGGUGCAUGGUUGUCGUCAGCUCGUGUCGUGAGAUGUUGGGUCAAGUCCCGCAACGAGCGCAACCCCUGCCCCCAGUAGCCAGCGUAGAGGCGGGCACUCUGGGGGGACUGCCGGGGACAACCCGGAGGAAGGCGGGGACGACGUCAAAUCAUCAUGCCCCUUACGGCUGGGGCUACACACGUGCUACAAUGAGGCCGACAGAGGGAGGCGGACGCGCGAGCGCGAGCGGACCCCAAAAACGGCCCCCCAGUUCGGAUUGCAGCCUGCAACUCGGCUGCAUGAAGCCGGAAUCGCUAGUAAUCGCGGAUCAGAACGCCGCGGUGAAUACGUUCCCGGGUCUUGCACUCACCGCCCGUCA
rnacentral:rRNA from 1 species